UACGUAGGGGGCAAGCGUUGUCCGGAAUCAUUGGGCGUAAAGAGCGUGUAGGCGGUCCGGUAAGUCGGCUGUGAAAGUCCAGGGCUCAACCCUGGGAUGCCGGUCGAUACUGCCGGACUAGAGUUCGGAAGAGGCGAGUGGAAUUCCCGGUGUAGCGGUGAAAUGCGCAGAUAUCGGGAGGAACACCUAUGGCGAAGGCAGCUCGCUGGGACGUUACUGACGCUGAGACGCGAAAAGCGUGGGGAGCAAACAGG
rnacentral:rRNA from 1 species